rnacentral:lncRNA from 1 species
GAGGUUCUGAUCAGCAAAUAAGGAAGGAACAACAUCUGACAUCUUUACCCACUUUAACUCAUCAAGCAAAGAACUUGUAAUACGCUGAAUGCUGCAUAGAAGGUUUUGAAACUACUUACCUGCUGUGGAACACCUGUAUAACUUUAAAAUGCAUCAAUCAAUCUCGAGAGUAUGAUCAUGCUUCCUGCUUUUAAGGAUCUGAAGUUAACUGCAACUCCAAGUAUACAAGACUUCUUUGGGACCCAUGGAAGCAUCUCUACAUGCUCAUGUUUGCCAGAUUCAGUGGCCUCCUGAAACCUGGCCCUAGCUAAUAAGUUAAAAAGCUCUAAGUAAUCCCGAGCUGCAUUUGAAUCUCCAAGAUCACUUGUUCAUGGGUUGGUAAUACUUUAAAGAGCCAUUUGUUUAACUGCUAAUCUGGAUCUUAUAUUCUGAGCCCCAGCUUUUUUCUAAAGCAAAGAAAAUACAAAAUAAAAGUAAGACCAAAUGCCUUUGUACCAUGGAGAGAGAAAUGACUCAUUGGAAUGCUUCUGUUUUUCAUC